rnacentral:lncRNA from 1 species
UCAAGAAAAGUUUUUCCCGACGCUUUAAAACCGUCGGGAAUACUUAUAUGAUUUUUUUUCCGGUGCUUUGAUGACCUAUUUUCUACAUAAAUAUAUACCUAUAUUCUAAUGCACUAAAAAUUGUAAACAUUUAAAUCCUUCUGCAAACAAUCAGAAGCUACUAUAAAAUAAUUUAUAUCAAGCAAAAUCAUUUAAAAUAAUAAAUUAUGUCAAACAACAAUCUCAUCGUUUGUACAAUUUGUAACACAUUAAUUUAGCCAUUCUUCCAACUCUCUAUUUCCAAUCAACUAUUUCUAUUUCUAUCACAAAACCCUACGCACCAAUCUUCGAUGUUUUCAAGUUCCUUCACAACUCUUAAUUUGAUGAAUAUGAAAGUUUAUCAGCAGCUACAGGUGGAUUCUCCUGCAAUAGAAAGUUCUCAGUUAAUACUUGAGACAAACUUUAAAAAAUAGUACUAAAUUAAUCAAAUAUACGAAACUGAUGGAAAUUUCCAUGGUUCACAACCAAAAACAGAAUUGAAAACUAAUGAUACCUGCCAAUGCACACAUCAUUAGAACCCAUGGUAGUAUUCCUUUAUGGACAACAAUAGCCUAUAUACAAAUAUUACACUUAAAUGGUCAGAAAAGCUUUAGUGUAGCUAUACAAUCUCUGUAAUGUUCAACUCAGAUUGUUCAAGGAUGGUUUCGUAUGACACUUUGACUACUAUGAGGGUUUUGUUCUGUCCAAAGUAACACACAAAGAAUUAAACAUUUUAUUGAAAACAAUGUAUGUGUACCAUAGAAGAACAAGAAAUAAACCUGGAAGUAUGAUAAAUUUUACCGUCCACCUCAGCUACAAUCAAUAACCUACAAAAGCCAAAACGGAAACAGACCAUUAGGGAAUAAUAAAUCUUUUCAGUAUUUCCAGUACCAUCGAAAACACGAGCAGGGGAAAAAUGAUUAUCUGGUUCAAUUAGUUAGUAAAUAGUAGAGCUACCUCUAGUUGCUCAUAAAGACUCCUUUUGAACGUCUAGUUGCAGUUGUAGUGCCUCCUUAAGUUGCGUAUCGCCGCAAAUGGUUUUCAAAUCUUUCUAAGAAACAUGAAAUUAACUGCGAUGGAAGAAAGUUUGUAUCUUUGCAACUGUUUAGGCUCAACACGUGGAAAAUAAAAGGCUAGUUUUGAGCUUAACACAAUCUCUAAUAUGCAUUCUACUAAAAUAUAGGUAGCGCAUUCUACUAAAAUAUAGGUAGCAUGAAGUAGCAAUUUUACAUUUCGAUGCCAAUCCAUGCUGCAUUAUUUAACUAAUCUUCUUCACAGAUCUUUUAGUUGCAUCAUCUAUGUGAAAAUAACAGUAAAAAAAAGAGCAAGUUAGCAACAAUAUGAGAAGGCAAGACAUGGGUUUGGCAAAUGUCAAAGGAACAAUUGUAGCAGAUAUCUCGCAUUACGAGUCAUGUCUUAUUCAGGGAAUAAAUAAAGGAUGACCCUGCAAUUAGACCACCCAAAAUACUCCAUGAAAAGGAUACCACAUACCUUCUUAAAUGCAGACUGACAAAGUGGCACUGAUAAGAAGUAUUAGAACUUUACUAGCAUCAUCGACCUUACCUUCAAAUUUCAACGAUAAAAUAAGUAACCAAGAAAUAAGCAGUUUAACUUAGGCUCUAAUAAAUAAAAUAUGGGCAUUGACAAUAAAUUGAAAAGACAUUGUACGUGUGUGGCCAAUUCUCUAUUGGCUAAAGCAAGAGAAUACUAGGUAACCUUCCAUAUCCAGCCCUCCGCCAUGCUUUUGCAGGGACAUUAGUCAAUGAGAGAUAUAUAAAAGGCAGAGCUAGGGAACUAACUCAAACACUUUGCACAAACACAAAAAAGAGAAGAAAAUGAUGCAAUAUAACCAAAGUAUACCCGAGAGGAUCCAGUUUUCAAUACUCUAAGUUGUUGUCAAUAACCAGAAAAGCACGAGCCAGAUGAAAUCUCCCAACCGAGGCAUUUUAAGAAGAAAAAAAAAUCUCCAUUAAAAUCAGAAUAGAAUAAAGAUAACUGAAAAGUAUACAUUAUCACCAAUUCCCCAAAAGCUGUUUAAGAAAUUAAAUUUUACAAUAAGGAUAACAAACAAAAAAGACCAGAAAAGAGAGGCUAAAACUAAGUCAUUCAGUUCCAGCUAUCACAUUUUCAAUUACCCAAGUAUUAAAAGAAUACUUCAUACAUUCAUACAUUACACAAGCAGCAUACUAAUUGAAUUUGCAAGGGUUAAGUUGCGAAGAGCCGAAAAGUUCAGUGAAACGUGACCUAAUUGAAGUUUACUUCAAACUCAUUAGUCACAAAACUAGGAUUACUGAAAAUUAACCAAAACAUAAAAUUGAAGAUGGAAGGAGAAAAGUGUUCACCUAGAAUCGGAUAUCAAAUCGCGAUUGAGAAAAUUGCGAAGUCGGAUGAAGUCGGAUGGAUACAAAUUUGACAAUCAAAUCGCGAUUAAACUCGAAUUUGAAAAGAAAUUAAGACGAUAAACUUAAAGCCUAAUUAGCAAUGUAAGCAUCAAUCUGAUGGCGGAGGCGGUCCGGUGGUGGUAACGAUGGCAGUGGCGUUGAUGGUGAUGGCGAUGGAGCCGGUGGCGGUGGCGGUGGCGUAGCAGGAUCGAAGAAAAGCCCUAGCAUUUCUAAACGACGGGAGAGAGAAACGUAUUAAGAAAAAAAAUGAGAGAGGCUUUUUU